AAAAGCUGCUCCUUGAAGUGAUGGGAUGAGUCAUCAAAAACAAGGUAAAUUAUAUUUACGUUCUCUUUUAAUGAAAUUAUAGUGUAAAAUGCAUUGCUGAUCGAUACCACUAAAAGAAUUAAUGUUUCUUGUGAAAACUUAGUGUUUAAUAGUGGAUUGCUUAAAAUUUCAGAGACAUAUUUUGUUAACUAUAAUGUCCACAUAAUUAUACCCACCUUGUGGGGGUUGUGGUAGGUUGUAAAUAAGGUAAUAACAUAAAUGUGCCUCAUACCUGGCUUGGCACAUAAAAUGUUAGCUAGUUAAUUUCUGCUUUAAAAGCAUUUUGCCUUAUUUAUUUAGAAAAUUCGUUUCUGGGGUAGCCGGGGUGGCUCAGCGGUUUAGCGCUGCCUUCAGCCCAGGGCCUGAUCCUCAGGAUCCCUGCAUGGAGCCUGCUUCUCCCUCUGCCUGUGUCUCUGCUUCUCUCUCUCUCUCUCUCUCUCUCUCUCUGCAUCUCUCAUGAGUAAAUAAAUAAAAUCUUAAAAAAAAAAGAAAAAGAAAAUUCAUUUCUCAUCAAUUUACCACAGUGAAAGUUAAAUUAUUAGUUAUUUCUUUUUUCAUUCUUUUUUGUUAAACCACCAGAUUGUUAAAUGAAAAGGAUUAACAUAUGUUUUAGUCUGUUAUACAGUAAGUUGUUACCUUAUCAUAGAGGUUCUCUGAAAAUUCACAAUUCUUUUUAGAAUUGAAGAACACCACAUGGUACUAACAUGGAGCAAGACCCAUUUCUUUUUCAUGAAUACAAGAUCUGGAGACCUCCAACAUGAGCGAAACUUCAUUCACAUUAUGACUCAGUCCUUCAUUGAAGGCAAUCUUUUCCUUUUUGAAAUUAAAAAUUUAUUUCCACUUUCAUUAUAUUCUUUCAAUCCCACUCCAAAGCAGUGUUGCCGAAGCACAUAUUUAUUUUGCACAUUGCUUUCUUAUCCACAUCAUGUCUCUGCAAUCUCUUUCACACCAAAGGAACAUGGAGUAUUUGUCUAAACUUACCAAUGGCUCAAUUCCAUCAUUGUGUUCUGGUGAAGAUGAGGCAAGAGAACUUGUUAUCCUGGUAGUUAAAGAGAGUUCAAGCAACACAACUCUGCAAAUGUCUAAUCUCUCAGCUCAGGCAACUGAUGAGUAGUAUCUGACCCUGCCUGAGUUCCAGGCUCUCUGAGCAGAAGGCUGAUUCACAGAUCCUUGGCAACCCAUCUCCUUCCUGCAUGACCUAUACCCCCAGUACUCACUUGUACACCUCUUUCUGAGCAUUAUGUACUAUUUUGAAAUAUGCCUUUUCCUUACAUCUACUCAUCAAAUCUUACCUGACUUGUGUCUCAUUAUUUUUAAAUAUUAUCAAGAGAAGAUCAAAUAACUAAUUGUUCAAUCUUCUUUUCAGUUUGGGCAUAAGAGUAAAUUAGGACAAUCAGUCAAAUGGGUAAAAGCCAGCCUUGUGCAUGAGGAUUAGGACAGAUCUUUGUAGAAAGGACUUGAAAUGUUCAGAAGCAAAGAGAAAUAGAGAACCAAA
rnacentral:lncRNA from 1 species